rnacentral:misc_RNA from 1 species
UACUCUCUACUCUAUCAAUUUGGUUCGACCUGCCGGAUCCACAUGACCAAAACAAAGAUGGAGGGAAGAAUGGAUAAGGUAGAGGGGAGUAUUGCUGAUUUGGAAGAAGCCAUCACAACUAUUCGGUUGAAUCAGGAUCAGAUACGACUGGACCAAGAACAACGGUUCAGUAGAUUGGAAAAUAUGAUUGCGGCAUUAGCAAGAGGUAAAAGUAAAUCUGAAAUGGAGGGUACAUCUACUCCAUCUUCUCCACCGCAUCAUCAAGGGGAUACCCUAGUCACCAAGUCUAACGCUAGAGCAUUGCUUUUGGAGGAUGUGUCUACUAUUACAAAGAAGGUCGAAAUGCCAAGCUUUGAUGGGGCUGACCCAGUAGGAUGGGUGGCAAGAACAGAGCAGUAUUUUGAAAUCCAUGGUAUUCAAAAUGAACUCAAAGUGUCACUUGCUCUCGUGAGUAUGGAAGGGGCACCUUUGCAUUGGCUUCGAUGGUUGAGGCAGCGUAAUCCACAUUUAACAUGGGAACAACUUCGGGAAGAGCUUAUGCAACGGUAUAGUGACGAGAUGUCCGACAAUCCAUAUGAGCACUUGGUUGCACUAAAACAACUCGGGACUGUAGCAGAUUAUGUUGAUGAAUUUGUAGCAAGGGCUUCUCGGGUUCCAGAUAUCUCAGAUAGACAAUGUUUGGGAUUCUUUUUGAAUGGCUUGAGAGAAGACAUACGGUUGCGUCUGCGUUCUCAUGAAACCACGGAUUUGUAUAGAACAAUGAAACUGGCUCGCGAAAUUGAGAGACAGCGGUGGCACUCUUCCAAGGAUAAGGCAGCACGAAAUUUCUCCGAUGGGAUGAAGAUGAAGUAUCCCUCACAUGGGUUAGGACCGAAAGCCCGAAUUUCUCAGGACCAACGUCCAUAUUUUGGCCCAAGUUCUGAUCAAAAGCGAGAUGGGCCCUUAACUAAACCACCUGAUAAAAAACCCAUAGCUCUUCCAGCUCCUCCAUCAAAAUCUUCGACAACUCAACUAAAACAGAGAGGUACCAGGCAGUAUUCACAUCAGGAGUAUCAAGAACUUAGGGCAAAAGGGUUAUGUUUCAGAUGUAAACAACCCUAUUCUCCAUUGCAUGAGUGUCCUAGCAAAUCAUUGAGGGCCUUAAUUGGAGGGGAAGAUGAAUAUUUGACUGAGGAAGGGGAACUUGUAGAGAUGGAAGAAAUUAGAGGUUCGAGAAUGGUUACGGAACUGGAUGAAGCCCAUUUCUCCCGAUUGGAGUUGCCCUUAUUCUCAGUAGGAGGGAUUCAGCGACCAAGAACCAUGAAAUUUCAAGGGUGGAUCGCUAAUCAACCCGUGGUCGUGUUAGUGGACAGCGGUGCGAGCCAUAAUUUCAUUUCUAAUCAAUUAGUGCAGCGCCUACAAUUGCCUGUUUCUGCCACACCCUCUUUUAAUGUCAAGUUAGGUGAUGGGUGCAAGGUUUCCUCAACUGGAUUAUGUAAGCAACUAGAGCUCCAAUUACUUGAUUAUACUGUUAAUACUGACUGUUAUGUGUUUCCUUUGGGGGGUGUUGAUUUUAUUUUGGGAGUAGCAUGGCUGGAAACUUUGGGUGAGAUACAUGCUAAUUGGCGACAGAUGACCUUGAAAUUCCAAAUGGGCAACCGCACUGUAAUUUUACAGGGAGAUCCAUCUUUGAGUCGUACUCCAGUUUCUUUACGGGCACUAAGGAAAACUGUUGAUGUAGAAUUUUCUGCUAUUUUGUGGCUCGUGGAAUCUGAUGAGGGCAAUAAUGAAGUAACAAAUAACUUGGACUCUAGUCAACAGGAGGCUAUGCAAACCAUGCUUCACCAAUUUGCUGAUGUCUUUGCUGAAAUCAAAUCCUUGCCACCUCAAAGGCAAGCUGACCACCAAAUUCGUCUUCUGCCCGCAGCAGGACCAGUGUUCGUACGACCUUACAGGUAUGGGCAUGUUCAGAAAGAUGAAAUUGAGAGACUAGUAUCUGAAAUGCUUUCGGCUGGAAUUAUUCGUCCUAGUAGCAGUCCCUUCUCCAGCCCAGUAUUAUUAGUUAAGAAAAAAGAUGGGAGUUGGCGUUUCUGCGUUGACUAUCGCCAAUUGAACAAGGCUACUGUGCCAAACAAAUAUCCAAUUCCGGUGAUUCAAGAGCUCUUGGAUGAAUUACAUGGAGCUCAAUAUUUUUCAAAGCUUGAUUUAAAAUCCGGAUAUCAUCAGAUUCGGGUGGCAGCUCCUGAUGUUCACAAGACAGCGUUUCGGACGCAUUCGGGGCACUACGAGUUUCUUGUAAUGCCAUUUGGACUGAUGAACGCUCCAGCGACUUUUCAAGCUGUGAUGAAUGAUAUCUUCCGUCCAUAUUUACGGAAAUUUAUACUUGUGUUCUUCGAUGAUAUACUUAUUUACAGUCGUGAUUGGGAUUCUCACAUGCAACAUUUACAUAAGGUUCUAGAGCUUUUGCGGCAACAUCAAUUACAUGUGAAUCAAAAGAAAUGUUCUUUUGGAAAAACUUCAGUCGAAUACCUUGGUCAUAUAAUUUCUAUUAAGGGAGUGGAGAUGGAUCCUGCCAAGGUUUCCAGUAUAAUUAGAUGGCCUAUUCCGAAGUCAGUGAGGGCAGUACGUGGAUUUUUGGGGUUAACAGGAUAUUAUAGGAGGUUCAUCUUGAAUUAUGGGCACCUUGCACGCCCUCUUACAGCCCUGCUUAAAAAAGAGGCUCAAGUUUCGUUUCAAUGGAAUGCUGAAGCACAACACUCCUUUGAUGCACUUAAAAAGGCAAUCGUAUCCUCACCUGUUCUAACCAUGCCUAAUUUUUCUUUGCCUUUUGUGGUAGAGUGUGAUGCCUCAGGAAGUGGUGUUGGAGCUGUUUUAAUGCAACAGAAUCGACCAAUUGCCUAUUUCAGCAAGGCAAUAUCCAAUAAGUCUACUGCUCAAUCAGCUUAUGAGAGGGAAUUAAUGGCACUAGUUUUAGCAAUACAACACUGGCGACCUUAUCUCAUUGGUCGAAAAUUUACAGUGAGGACAGAUCAACGGAGUCUGAAGCACCUUUUAUUGCAGCAAGCUAGCACCCCAGCACAACAGUAUUGGCUUUCAAAACUGAUGGGAUAUAGCUUUAUGAUUGAAUAUAAAACUGGCAUCUCUAAUAAGGCAGCCGAUGCCCUGUCUCGUAGGGAUGAAGAAGUAGAAUUGCAGGCAAUCUCAGUGCCUCAAUGGGUUGAUUGGGAGGAGAUUGCGCAAGAAGUGAUGAAAGAUAAACAAUUGAGCAAAAUUAUAGCAGAAUUGUCAGCUGGAUCAAAGGUGCAACCUGGAUAUUCACUUAUUCAUGACAGGUUGUACUAUAAAGGCAGAUUAGUUUUACCAGCUCAAUCUGAUUGGAUAUCAAAACUUAUUGCCGAGUUUCAUGACACACCACAAGGAGGGCAUUCUGGGGCAUUCCGCACUUAUAGAAGGAUGGCAUCUAAUUUUUAUUGGAGGGGAAUGAUGAAAGCAAUACAGACUUAUGUAGCCUCUUGUCUAAUUUGUCAGACGCAUAAAUACGACACUCAAGCUCCUGCAGGUUUAUUACAGCCUCUUCCAAUUCCGAAAAUAGUAUGGGAAGAUGUCUCCAUGGACUUUGUAACAGGUCUCCCUCGAUCAAAUGGGGUAGACUGUAUACUUGUAGUAGUGGAUCGUCUCUCCAAAUUUGGGCAUUUUAUUCCUCUGCGCCACCCUUUUACAGCAAAAUCAGUGGCUGAAAUCUUUACUAGAGAAGUGGUGAGGUUACAUGGCAUACCAAGGACUAUUGUAAGUGAUAGAGACCCUGUCUUCCUUUGUAAUUUCUGGGGUGAAUUAUUUAGAUUGCAAGGCACUCAGUUGAAGUUUAGUUCAGCGUAUCAUCCUCAAACGGAUGGCCAAACGGAGGUGUUAAAUCGAUGCUUAGAGUCUUAUCUUCGAUGUUUCUCCUCAGAGCAGCCAAAGGGAUGGUCGAAAUGGUUAUGUUGGGCUGAGGACUGGUAUAAUACUAGUUUCCAAAUUUCUGCAGGAAAAACCCCUUUUGAAAUAGUAUAUGGUAGGCAACCUCCAGUCCUUCAACAUUAUUUACCUGGAGAAACUAAGGUGGAGGCUGUUUCACAACACUUACAAGAUCGGGAUGAAAUAUUGAGACAGCUUCAGUUUAAUCUUCAUCGAGCUCAACAAAGGAUGGUGAAACAUGCAAAUAAGCAUAGAAGAGACCUGGAGUUUGCUGUUGGAGAUCAUGUUUUCCUUAAAUUGAGGCCUCAACGACAACAAUCUGUUGCAUCUCGAAUCUGUCCUAAGUUAUCUGCCCGUUAUUAUGGACCAUUUGAGAUAAUUGGGAGGAUUGGGGCUGUGGCUUAUAAGCUAAAGCUACCUGUUACUUCAAAGGUUCAUCCUGUAUUCCAUAUUUCCCAACUUAAGCGGGUUGUUGGUAAUCACCCGGUUCUCACUGAUUUACCAGUACACAUGGAAGAACAAGGUGAGAGUAUGGUGGAACCAGAUCACAUAUGCCAACAACGACAGAUUCACAGAAAAAAUCAAUGGGUUUCACAAGUGUUGGUUCAAUGGAAAGGGCAAUCUGCAGAGCAAGCAACUUGGAUAGAUGAAGCUGAUUUUCGUGGGCAAUUCCCUUA